rnacentral:rRNA from 1 species
GACGAACGCUGGCGGCGUGCCUAAUACAUGCAAGUAGAACGCUCAAGGAGGAGCUUGCUUCUCUGGAUGAUUUGCGAACGGGUGAGUAACGCGUAGGUAAUCUGCCUGUUAGCGGGUGAUAACAAUUGGAAACGAUAGCUAAUACCGCAUAAUAUUAGAUGUUCCAUGACAUUUGCUUAUAAGGUGCAAUUUUAUCACUACUAGUUGGACCUUCGUUGUAUUAGUUAGUUGGUGGUGUAAAGGCUUACCAAGGCGACGACUCAUAGCCGGCCCGGGAGGGGGGACGGCCCAAAUGGGAAUGGGGACACGCCCAGACUCCUGAGGGAGGCCGCAGGAAGGGAUCCUCGGCCAUGGGGGGAAGUCUGAACGGGCCAAGCCGCGUGAGUGGAGAAAGGUUUUGGGUCGGUAAGAUCCGUUGUAUGAGGAAGACGAAUGUGAGAAUGGAAAGUUCACACUGUGACGGUAUCUAAUCAGAAAGGGACGGCUAACUACGUG